UGAGGAAUAUUGGUCAAUGGGCGGAAGCCUGAACCAGCCAAGUCGCGUGAGGGAAGACGGGAUCCCUCAUGGAUUGUAAACCUCAUUUUUGCCAGGGGGAUGCAAGGACCUGUUACGUGUAACAGGUUGGAGAGUACCCUGAGAAAAAGCAUCGGCUAACUCCGUGCCAGCAGCCGCGGUAAUACGGAGGAUGCGAGCGUUAUCCGGAUUUAUUGGGUUUAAAGGGUGCGUAGGCGGGCUGGUAAGUCAGCGGUAAAAAUGCGGUGCUCAACGCCGUAGUGCCGUUGAAACUGCCGGUCUUGAGUGAGCGAGAAGUAUGCGGAAUGCGUGGUGUAGCGGUGAAAUGCAUAGAUAUCACGCAGAACUCCGAUUGCGAAGGCAGCAUACCGGCGCUCAACUGACGCUGAGGCACGAAAGCGUGGGGAUCGAACAGGAUUAGAUACC
rnacentral:rRNA from 1 species